UGGCCCUGAGGAGCCGUGUGUGUAGAUCUGGCACAGCUUUGCUCCCUUAACUCCUGGAUCUUUGUUUUGGUGGCGACCAGGGAGAGCAGGGAGCGCUGUGCUCGCAUUUCCCUCUGGCUUUUACACACGCACACACACACACACACAAAUCCCCUUUUCCAACUUUCUGCUUUUUGCGCUUCCCUUCCAGUUUUUUCACUUCUCAGACCUACUGGCAGCAUUUGCCGAGAUCUAGAUCCCCGUCGUGGGAUCUUGGAGUUUCUGGCAGAUAUUCCUCAGGCUGGAAUCCAGACAGCUUGUCUGAGCACAGAGAAAACACUCUCCUUCACUCCUCAAAAUAUUGGGAAAAGACACUGUAUUUGCUGCUCCUAGGAUAAAAGCAUCCCUAAUGGUGAUAUCCAAAAUGCACGAGGUCUAAAACCCAGACUGCCAGAGCGAUUAAUCAGUGGAAGCCAAGGACACAGAUUCAUGUGUGACUUGCAGAAAAUCCAUGGAUGUACCCAGCUGCCUUCAAGCAGAAGUAACCCCUGGGGGGAAAGGCAGGGUCAAGAAGACAGAAUAAUGAAGAUCUUCCAUCUAUAGGGAAACAACAGAAAAUUUCUUGACCUGCUGUAAAAUCACAACCAUUGACAAUAUUACGUAACUUAGCUGGUAAAUUUAAUCUCAACACAUUUAGUUUGCUUAAGCCAGAGAAAAGUACAUUUCUCUUAGUUAAGUAGGAUCCUUAGCUGGCUGCCACAUCAACAAAAAAGGAUUUUUCAGAUCCAAGUGAGAUCAAUAAAAAACCUAACAUCUUCUGAGGAAAAGAUACUACUGCUGGUGUAACCCACAAUCCAAAUAUGAGCACAGUUCUUAGCAAUUCUACUGCAGAAUAUUUUCAGGGGAGUGGUUGCACUUCAUGACAUUCUUACAAAAAUAUGAAGAAUAUUAAUUUUUUUCCAAUGGAAAUAAAUCCUUUCUUUUCUCCUCUGUGAAACAAGACACUCCCCAUGUUUCUAUUGCUCCUGUGCUGUACAUCCACUGAGAAUGGCCUGUCAUUCUGCAAACUCUCAUGUAUUUUACAGAGUCAACAUUGCUAUUCAUCUCAUGCGACUGCAGCCAAUCUUGCCUGCCAGGUGAAACGCGAUGUUGAAACAGAGAAACCGUCUCAAAGAAACACAAGCUCUCAAAGCGUGAAUGGCUCUGUGGAUCAAAGAAGGCAUUUUGAAUUACACCUGGAAAUGAAGCAGGGAGCAGCCAAGUCCCCGGAGCACGGGUGCAGGGAUGGGAAGGAGGAGCGGUGGCAGGGCCGGCGGUCCCACCCUCGCCUGCUGAGGCUCUCGCAGGUCGGCUCUGAGCGCAUCGGAGAUGAUUGGGAGCAGCUGCAAGCUGAGCCCAGUGCAGCGCUCCCAAUACAUUCCAGAUGAUGAAUAUGAUGCAGGCUUACUGGAAGAAAAAUAUAUUUCUGAAGAGAAAAACAAUUACUUCUCAAAGCAAGACAAUGAAGCUGAACCGACGCUACGUGGGCAUAAAAUAGAACAGAACUUUUGGGCAAUGGCUUUAGCUUCUAAUAAAUCACCCACCUGGAGAUACUUUUGCAGAGUGAGCUUGGAUGUAUCAGACCCCAAAUAUUUUCAGAGGUAUAUAAAGCUGAAAAAUUAGGCAUUUAAACCUUUGUUUUUCCCCAAAGGGACAGAUACUUUGUCGUGUCAUAGACUCCGAUUUUCAUGUUAGCAGAAAGGUGCCCUUGCCAGUCCAAACAACACGUGGGCUGUCUCAUGGAAGUUAUGAAAAAAGGCUUGGAAACACCACUUGAUACAGUGGGUUUCACUGGCUGAAUCUUCAGAAGGGACUUGAAUGAAAUUUGCAAAAACAUGUCAAAAGUUAAGUGGCGAAAAUCAGCUUAAAUGCCUAAUUUUAAUUUUGUUUGUGCUCUUUGUUGUUUCAUUGUGGAGGGAGGGAAGAAGCUGUCUUUUUUCUCCCUGUCCUUUCAUUCUGCUUGGGAGAAAAUGGAUGUUGGUGAAAAGAAGAGAGCUCUGGCAGGGACUGGAAAGGGGUUGUUUAUUCUGUUUUGUUUUCUUUAGAAAGGGGCAACUCUUCUAAAACUGGUGAUGAUCCAGUUAAAGGGGGACUCCGGGUAGGGAAGAGAAAAGAAAACUAAUAAUCAGCCUCUAAAUGACAAGUUUUCUCUUGAACAAAAGAGCAACAGGAGGCAGUGCAGGCAGGGGGUCAGUGCCCAGGGGUAACGUGACCAAAACAAUGGCUGGAGAAUGUGUGUAGCUUUUGCCACUCCAGAAGCUGCUGCCCCAGUGCCUUCGCUGAGGGACUGCAAGGAUCAAACCUGAUCCGAUGCUGGGCAAGUGUGGUGCCACUUCUGGAGUCCUCCAAAGAGGAGGCAAUGACUGACUGUGGGUAACGCAAGCAGGAAUUGAAGAAUUGUGAGGGAAUCCCCCAGUUCUGAAUGACAGUGUGAUUGAACAGCCCCAGCCAAUAAGGCAGAGCCCCUACCAGCAAUGGGGCUAAAGGUGGGGUUUAAAGUGACUUCAAUUAAAGAUAGAGACUGCUCGGCAGUGUCUGUGCUUCUCUUGCACUUGGUUAAUUGCCUGUUGGGGAAAGCCAGCGGCGCUGGAUAAACUGAAACGAGAUGAUUUUAAACUGUUAUGAGUGUUCAUGCAGAAGUUCAUACUGGUUUAGACUAAAUUGGUUUUAAUUUCAAUUCAUGUAACUUCUGUGUGGACGAGGCCUAUGGAUUGCCAUUUUGCAGCAAUGGUGAAUUUAUAGCAUAUGUGCUGCAAAUGGACUAUCAUGCAAAUUCUCCUGGUAUUUGCUCCAAGUCCAGUUCCAGCUGUCGGUGGAGAUGGAGGAGCAGAAUAGACCACUCACAUGGCCUCCCAUGUAAUGCAGAUUGGAUCCAUUGUCAGUCAGAUGGACUGGUGGUGUGGGAGCAGUGUGAAGCCAGUUCUUUCACUACAUGGUGUGUAAAGCAAUGAGGCAGACAAAAGCUGGAUUUAAAUUAGGGAAUAUUUCUGCCAAAUUUCGUUCUCUGAAGCAGAAAAAUAAAACACUUAAUGUGUCUGGCAAUGUUUAUUCUGUGCACAGGGUUUUAGCUGAUCAUAAAAGAAAAGCUACAUGUGAACAUUAUCUGGCAACUUCAUCAUAUUCUGAGGAGAUGAGAGAGUAUGAUUCUACCAUGGCCUGAAAAAGUAUUAGACUGAGAAAGUGGAAACAAUUUGGCAGGAAAACAAGAUGGCAAGAGAAAAAGAAAAAAAAUAGAUUCUUUUCGAUUAGGUAGGAAUUACCAGUUAUAAUCACAGCAAAACCGUAUCUGCCACAAAGGCUCCAUUUUGAAAGUCCUUGAUGUCCUCAGUGUCCUGCUCAAUGGCCAGAGGCUUCCCACUUUGCCUUCUUGCUGCUUAUUCAAAGAAAGGCAAGGUCUGAAUGGUUGGAAAAUAUAUGUGCUGCUCAUGCAGUAACUGCAUGUGCAUGAAAAGAAAAGAAUUCCUUGCCUAUGCACCAUGGGUAUCUGUGCUGAUAAGGAGGCAGUAACUCUCAUUACAUGCAUAUUUGAAGACUUGGCCCUGAAUUCUACUGGUGAAGUAUUUUCCAUGACUUUUCCACUGUAUCUUCUUAGAGGUUUGUGCUCCAAUCAUCCAAUACCUUGACAGAAAUAGAAGAAAGUGUUAAAAAUAAUCCAAAGAAAUAAUAUGAGACCACUUUUAAUUCCAAAUGAUUGAAAGAGCAAGUAUCAGCUAAUGUGAAUGAAAACAUAGUUGUGUAUUCCAAGUAAGAAGAACGUCAAGAAUAACAACUUUGUAACUGGAUUUGGAAAAACAAACAAUUCUUUCCUUUCUUUGCAUAAUAAAUAUGGUGUGGGUAGCAAAAAAUAACAUUUUAUGAAUGCUGUAACGUGUUUUUAUUUCUACUGGUUCAAAACAGCAUUUGCUUCUUGAAAUUAAAUGGAAUCUGAUUGAGUUUUGUCCUUUCUGAGCCUUGUCUGGUACAAGGUAAUGCAUUGACUACCCUAUUGAUAUUGUAAUUUUUCUAUUAUACAUAGAAAUUCUCAUAUUGCAAGUUGCUGGGGGCCUUGAUAUUUCACAAAUUUGGGAUCAUUAAGAAUGUUUUCCAUGUCAGAGCUAUACUAAUUGUGACUGUGUUGAUGACAUCCACCAUUCUACUUAAAUUGAAAAUUGCUGCUUACUAAAGAAGUUGGACCCUGAGCUUAAGUCCUUGGUGACUGAUUUGAUUAGUCCAUUUGAGUGAGAAUAGGGCAACACAGGGGCUAUGUUAAUGGAACUUAAACAAUAGGCCAUCACUAAUCAGAGACCUCAAGGUUGAAGUGAGGUUAAUUGUUA